rnacentral:misc_RNA from 1 species
CUUUAAUGGUUGAGUUUACUAUCCUUUUGUUAAUUCUCUUGCUUAGAAAUGCAGUCAAUUUUUGUGGAAGGAUAGGAGGAGUUUUCUGAGAACAAAAAGAAAAAGAAGAAAAAAAUAAUUUAAGGAGGGAGGGGGGAAAAGCAGAAACUAUUGAAAAGCCACUAUAUGCUAAAGAUUGAGCAUGUAGGCUACCAUUCGCCGCGGGCCGCGCCCCUCCAACAACAACCAAAAAAAAGAAAAAAAAAAGAAAUAAACACACAUACACGCUGG